AGAGUUUGAUCAUGGCUCAGGACGAACGCUGGCGGCGUGCCUAACACAUGCAAGUCGAACGAGGUCCAUCUGGUGGCAACACCAGUGAAGACCUAGUGGCGAACGGGUGAGUAACACGUGAGGAACCUGCCCCGAAGACCGGGAUAACCCUCCGAAAGGAGAGCUAAUACCGGAUACCCCCACCGAGCCGCAUGGCUUGGUGAGGAAAUGGAUUCCGCUUCGGGAGGGCCUCGCGGCCUAUCAGCUAGUUGGUGGGGUAACGGCCCACCAAGGCAUCGACGGGUAGCUGGUCUGAGAGGACGAUCAGCCACACUGGGACUGAGACACGGCCCAGACUCCUACGGGAGGCAGCAGUGGGGAAUCUUGCGCAAUGGGCGAAAGCCUGACGCAGCAACGCCGCGUGGGGGAUGAAGGCUCUCGGGUUGUAAACCCCUUUCAGCAGGGACGAAUCAAGACGGUACCCGCAGUAGAGCC
rnacentral:rRNA from 1 species